rnacentral:rRNA from 1 species
GACGAACGCUGGCGGCGUGCCUAAUACAUGCAAGUAGAACGCUGAGGACUGGUGCUUGCACCGGUCCUAGGAGUUGCGAACGGGUGAGUAACGCGUAGGUAACCUACCUCAUAGCGGGGGAUAACUAUUGGAAACGAUAGCUAAUACCGCAUAAAAGUGUUUAACCCAUGUUAAACAUUUAAAAGGUGCAAUUGCAUCACUAUGAGAUGGACCUGCGUUGUAUUAGCCAGUUGGUGAGGUAACGGCUCACCAAGGCGACGAUACAUAGCCGACCUGAGAGGGUGAUCGGCCACACUGGGACUGAGACACGGCCCAGACUCCUACGGGAGGCAGCAGUAGGGAAUCUUCGGCAAUGGACGGAAGUCUGACCGAGCAACGCCGCGUGAGUGAAGAAGGUUUUCGGAUCGUAAAGCUCUGUUGUUAGAGAAGAAUGAUGGUGGGAGUGGAAAAUCCACCAUGUGACGGUAACUAACCAGAAAGGGACGGCUAACUACGUGCCAGCAGCCGCGGUAAUACGUAGGUCCCGAGCGUUGUCCGGAUUUAUUGGGCGUAAAGCGAGCGCAGGCGGUUCUUUAAGUCUGAAGUUAAAGGCAGUGGCUCAACCAUUGUACGCUUUGGAAACUGGAGAACUUGAGUGCAGAAGGGGAGAGUGGAAUUCCAUGUGUAGCGGUGAAAUGCGUAGAUAUAUGGAGGAACACCGGUGGCGAAAGCGGCUCUCUGGUCUGUAACUGACGCUGAGGCUCGAAAGCGUGGGGAGCAAACAGG